rnacentral:rRNA from 1 species
GACAGUGAGGAAUAUUGGACAAUGGAGGCAACUCUGAUCCAGCCAUGCCGCGUGCAGGAAGACGGUCCUAUGGAUUGUAAACUGCUUUUAUAUAGGAAGAAACCUUUCCACGUGUGGAAAGCUGACGGUACUAUAAGAAUAAGCACCGGCUAACUCCGUGCCAGCAGCCGCGGUAAUACGGAGGGUGCAAGCGUUAUCCGGAAUCAUUGGGUUUAAAGGGUCCGUAGGCGGACUAAUAAGUCAGGGGUGAAAUCCAACAGCUUAACUGUUGAACUGCCUUUGAUACUGUUAGUCUUGAAUUAUAUGGAAGUAGAUWGAAUGUGUAGUGKAGCGGUGAAAUGSWUAGAGAUUACACAGAMUACCGAUUGGGMAGGCWGUUUACUACGUAUAUAUUGACGCUAAUGGAAGAAAGCGUGGGGAGCGAACAGGAUUAGAUACCCUGGUAGUCCACGCCGUAAACGAUGGACACUAGUUGUUGGAUUUAUUCAGUGACUAAGCGAAAGUGAUAAG